UGUGCUUUCUGUCUUCUCUCCUAAUAAACACUUGACUUGCCUCACUACUUUUCAUCUCUUUGCUGAAUUCUUUCUUCAAAGCAGAUGAGAGCCAGGGCCCUGCUCCUAGCCAAUAUUCCCUGGUGGUCUAGUGGUUAGAAUUCGGCACUUUCACUGCUGUGGUCCGGGUUCAAUUCCCAGGGAACUGAGAUCCCACUUCAAGCUGCCGCUCACUGUGGUCGCUCACAGCCACCUGAGAUCAGGGCCUUUAGACUCAGGCUGAAUCACACACCAGCUUUCCUGGUUCCCAGCUUGCAGAUGGCAGACUAUGGGACUUUUUGGCUUCCGUCACUAUCACCUACAGAAUGAGGUCACCAAUGGAGGGAGAGGAGAAAGAAAAGAGGACCAAGGUCCGAGGCCAGAGGACGGCUACUAACACUGCAGAAGCGCCCUGCAGAAGAGCCCAGAACACUGGCUGGCACUUCAUCGGAGCUCACAAAAUAUUUCUGACUGAAUGAAUCUUGUACCAGGCGUGGUUAAUCUGAAUCUCCAUUAGCACAAUUAUCCCUGCGUCUGACCCACUACCUCGCAGUUGUUGAGGUAGGCACAUAGGCUAUUUAUUUCCAAGGCUUCCUAAUGGGUGUGCAGUGGUGUCUCGUGGGUUUGAUUUGCGUUUCCCUGAUGACCAUCUUGAGCAUCUUGAAAAUGAGAAGCCCGCGCACCACAACAAAGAGUAGCCCCGGCUCGCUGCAACUAGAGAAAGCCCACGCACAGCAAUGAAGACCCAAUGCAGCCAAAAAUAAAUAAAAUUUAAA